rnacentral:rRNA from 1 species
UAGAGUUUGAUCCUGGCUCAGGAUGAACGCUGGCGGCGUGCCUCAUACAUGCAAGUCGAACGGGAACCCUUGGAUUCGUCCUUGGGGGAGAGUGGCGAACGGGUGAGUAACACGUAGGUGACCUGCCCCGAAGACGGGGAUAACCGCUGGAAACGGCGGCUAAUACCCGAUGUGCUCGGCGAUUCGUUUCACCGAGUAAAGCUCCGGCGCUUCGGGAUGGGCCUGCGGCCUAUCAGCUAGUUGGUAGGGUAACGGCCUACCAAGGCAGAGACGGGUAGGGGACGUGAGAGCGUGGCCCCCCACACUGGCACUGAGACACGGGCCAGACUCCUACGGGAGGCAGCAGUCGGGGAUAUUGCGCAAUGAGCGAAAGCUAGACGCAGCGACGCCGCGUGGGCGAUGAAGGCCUUCGGGUUGUAAAGCCCUUUUAUGGGGGAAGAGAAAAAGGACGGUACCCCAUGAAUAAGUCCUGGCUAACUAUGUGCCAGCAGCCGCGGUAACACAUAGAGGACGAGCGUUAUCCGGAUUUACUGGGCGUAAAGAGCGUUGAGGCGGCUCUGUAAGUUGGGCGUUAAAGCUCCGGGCUUAACCCGGAGAGGCCGUUCAAUACUGCAGGGCUUGAGGACAGCAGAGGGAGAUGGAAUUCCCGGUGUAGCAGUGAAAUGCGUAGAUAUCGGGAGGAACACCAGUGGCGAAGGCGGUCUCCUGGGCUGUUCCUGACGCUGAAUGCGAAAGCUAGGGGAGCGAACGGGAUUAGAAACCCCGGUAGUCCUAGCCGUAAACGAUGGAUGCUAGGUGUGGGGGGGUAAACUCCCUCCGUGCCGUAGCUAACGCGUUAAGCAUCCCGCCUGGGGGAGUACGGCCGCAAGGUUAAAACUCAAACGAAUUGACGGGUCCCCGCACAAGCAGCGGAGCGUGUGGUUUAAUUCGAUGCUACACGAAGAACCUUACCUGGAUUUGACAUGCAAGUAGUAGUGAAGCGAAAGCGGAACGACCCUUCGGGGAGCUUGCACAGGUGCUGCAUGGCUGUCGUCAGCUCGUGCCGUGAGGUGUCGGGUUAAGUCCCGUAACGAGCGCAACCCUCGCCCUUAGUUACAAGUGUCUAAGGGGACUGCCCGGGACAACUGGGAGGAAGGUGGGGACGACGUCAAGUCGGCAUGGCCUUUAUGUCCAGGGCUACACACACGCUACAAUGGCCGGUACAAUGGGUCGCCAAGCCGUGAGGCGGAGCCAAUCCUCCAAAGCCGGUCCAAGUUCGGAUUGUGGGCUGCAACUCGCCCGCAUGAAGCUGGAGUUGCUCGUAACCGCAGGUCAGCCAUACUGCGGUGAAUACGUUCCCGGGGAUUGUACACACCGCCCGUCACGUCAUGGAAGCUGGUAACACCUGAAGCCGGUGGGCCAACCGCAAGGAGGCAGCCGUCGAAGGUGGGACUGGUAACUGGGACGAAGUCGUAACAAGGUAACCAAGGGCGAA